UACAGGGGGGGCAAGCGUUGUUCGGAAUUACUGGGCGUAAAGGGUUCGUAGGCGGCCAACUAAGUCACACGUGAAAUCCCCAGGCUUAACCUGGGAACUGCGUGUGAUACUGGAUGGCUUGAAUCCGGGAGAGGAAUGCGGAAUUCCAGGUGUAGCGGUGAAAUGCGUAGAUAUCUGGAGGAACACCGGUGGCGAAGGCGGCAUUCUGGACCGGCAUUGACGCUGAUGAACGAAAGCCAGGGGAGCAAACAGG
rnacentral:rRNA from 1 species